CAGAGGGUUCACCUCAGAGGGCUGCCCGGCCAGCCUGGAGCAAGGACAGUACAGGCAUCUCAAGGUGUGUGGAGGCAACAGAGAGCUCUACCAGCCCCUGGGCUCUUUGGAUGAGUAUACUGACUUGCAGCAACUCAGAGGCCUGAAGUGACAGCCACCCAGUCCAGGGCUCUCUCUGGGAUGGACCUGACCAGCGGGACUGGUGAGCCUCGGCUCCUUCCCAUGAUCCUAGCUCAGCCAGAUGGGCUUUUCUGCUACAAGGGCACACGUGUGUUGGGAUAGGGCCUGAAAACCCACUGGUGACAGUAACAACGGGUUAUUGUUAUAUAACACACAUGCAAUGUGGUUUUGGUUAAAGCGGUUUCCUGCGGGACUAAAGGAAACUAAGCGGGAAGCAAACAACGGCUCGGGUCAGGCACCUCCUGCAACGUCACAGUGGCUGUUGCAGGGCAGUGGCAGAGGCUCCAUCACUGAGGAACUGGGCUCAAAGCUUAAUGCAUCCAAUAACAGUGCCAGGCCUCUGUUUAAAUGUCACAAGAGAGGAGAAAAAACCCGACCCAGCCCAAGCAACCCAUGAGUGAGAGCAUGAAGCCACAGCCAGCCCCAGAUGAGGACAUGCAGUGCAAUGGUCAUGUUGCCACAGUAUCACUGCAUGGUCCGCAGGUCCCCUGGGAAUAACCUUCACACAAAACCCUCAAGCUAGGAAGGGAGAGGAGGGAGCCAAGCAUUUCCAUAUCCACCCUAGGAGCGCCGGUCCCUGGGGAAGGCUGGAAUCUGGUGCCGACUGGCGCUGGGAACACCCACGUUCAGCUAACCUGACUGCAGCGUUCACUACA